CUGUCGGUAUUGGCCGGUCCUCUACUUUUCUGACUGCGGACUACAUUUCCCAUAAGUUUCGGUGGUUCGAGUCAGCUUUUUCGCGCUUUCUUUUCUGCGCCAGAGUUUGUGGGAGUGUCUCCCUGGUGAGGGGAGGAGUUGGCAAUACUACUCAUGUGGUGUGCCCUUCUUAUUAGUGCCUCACUUUGGGUGGUAUUUGUGCUGAUGUCUUACUGCUGGUGACCAUUUGGUUAAGUUCUGUUGAUUGUUAAGCUGCCAAAACCCAGCAAGGCAACACAGAAAAAGUACAAAUACACAAACCCCGUUGGAGUCAUGGUAGUAGUAGAGUUCUAAAUCCUCUAAAGACUCACUGGAGAAUUUCUAAAGGAUGUACAUUGGCAAGAAGUAAGUUAAACCUGGAAAGACUGAAUGAGAUAAAAUCGGUAACUGUUGGAAAAUGUAAGCAUAUACUAAACAAUAAUUAAUUUUAAUGGCAUUUCAAAACAAAUUAGACUAAAAUCACCAGAUAACAAUAGAAAAAAAGUACUUAAAGCAUUCUAAAGUGUUUCUGGAGAUGUCCACUAAUUACAAAUCAAAGAUACAAGUUAAAAAUUUAAGGGUACCCUAUAAAAGAAAUAGAAUAGUUUUUAAUCCAGUAGAAAAGGGGAAUAAAGAAAACAUGAUCCAACAGAAAUCAAUGGAAAGUGAAAUGUCAUCCUGAUUGCAAACAUUAUAUGCUCUGCAUUACAUUGUGUCUUAACAAAGUUAUCUUUUGCAGGGGCACCUUAGGUGGCUCCGUUGGUUAAGCAUAAGAAGUAUAAGCUUGAUUAAAAAGAAACUGGGGAGAUGGGAUAUGGAGCUAAAAGGAGGCCUGGCAACAGCUCUUGGAAGAUAAAGACUCAGUAGAAUAGCAUGUCACUUGUUGAGGCUAAAGUGCAGUGUCCUUGCCUUUCUUAGUCUGUGUAUUUGGAAAAAUAAACCCAAAUGCAGACUGCAGAGAAGAAGACGAAAGAGAAUUGGUUAAAUAUUCAGGCCUUUCACCUUCCACUCCCUGCCUUCCCAUUACUGCCAGUUUGGAGGUUUAUGGGGGCUAAAGGAUAAAUAUGAAGUUUUUAUAUAAUUUGAUGUGGAAAUGGGCUACCUCCUGGCCAGCAGAUAUUCCCAGACUCAAGCUCAUGUGGAGACAGUCAGUUACAGGAUAAUGUUCAUGAGUUCUGGGGUCAAACAGAUCUAGAUUCCAGUCUCCACGUGCACCAUUUUUAGUUGUAUCCCUAUUUUUAUUUUAAUAUCACUGAGACUCAUUCUCUUCAGAUAAAGUAUGAAGAUAGACAUGCCAGUGCUCUGCCUACCAUGUCUAAACGAAGGGAUAUUUACAAAGUAUACAAAGGAGUUUAUAAAGAAUAUAAAGUGCUUGUAAUGUAGUCAUUCAGUAAAUUAGUGUUUUUCCACUUGUAUGUCACAAAACUAAAAUUAAAAAUAGCUGGAAAACUGUAUAGCAUAAGGCAACUAUGCACACCCAAAGAGAUUAAUAUGAAUUCCUGCUAAUUGAUUAACUACUUUUAAUCACAUUGACAUGCCCCCUUUGUUUAUUCUUUAGCAGUGGCAACAUGGGAGGUUGAGUUUUUGUGGGUGGUGAGAGCCUGGAUCCUCACUGGAUCCAUGACCGGAUAUGAUGGUUAAUAAUACACAGCUCAGUUCCCAACUGCGUCAGUAACUAUGGAUCUGUAAACAACAUCUUACAUUUACCCUAUGUCUUCUGAGUAUCAGUAUAUAUGGUUUCUUAAUUUACAUGCCACAUUGUUUAGGAUGCUCAGAUGUUCAUCAUGAGGCAGAAGAGGUAACAGUGAGAAAUUAGGCAAAGACAGGAUUGUGCAAGAUGGAAAGUGAAAUGUCAUCCUGAUUGCAAACAUUAUAUGCUCUGCAUUACAUUGUGUCUUAACAAAGUUAUCUUUUGCAGGGGCACCUUAGGUGGCUCCGUUGGUUAAGCAUUUGACUCUUGGUUUCAGCUCAGGUCAUGAUCUCAUGGUUCAUGAGAUGGAGCCCCAUGUUGGGCUCUGAGCUGACAGCACUGAUGCUGCUUGGGAUUUUC